UUGGACCCUGCGGAACAGAGUCAGUCAUCAGAAGGCCUGCGCUCACCACAGGAUGAGGGGCAAGGUUCCCUGAUGACCAGUUGCAGACACUCGGCUGGAGGCAGGGCUGGGCGGCCUGAGGUCACAGGAACCCAGACCAGGACCCUCCGCACCGGCUGGCCGUCGAGUUCUCAAGGAGGGACGCAUGUUCUCAUACAAACACAGGCAAUGCACUCCUUAGGACUGCACAUGAAACAGACCACUCCAAGCACCAGCAAUUGCACCAUAUGGAAAGCAGGACAAGUUUACUCACAUGCUGCUUUGGCUCCUUGGAUGGAGAAACUGGACUGGGUCUAGGACUACACCUGGAAGGACUGGAUUUAAUAGAAGAGCAGACUAUGAUUCUGAGACUAAAGCCAAACAAUUAACUGGAGUGACACUUUCUGGGAGUGAUAAACUCUUGGUGACCAUUGACAUUGUUGGUCUCUCUUAUGUUCUGGAUACUCUCUCCACACUGGCUUCCAUGACAGUGUUCUUAGUUUUACAAAUGGCUCCUCUUCUUCCACCUGCCCCUUAAAUAUUGCUAUUACCCCGUGUCCUAUCCUCAACCUUCUUCUGGUCUCCCUCUAGAGGCUCCCUGGAUGCGUUCACCCACCAUUACAUAUGAUGAUUCCCAAAUGUGCGUCUUCAGCUCAGAUCUGUCUGUUGAAUUUCAAAGCUAAGUAUUGGUUGUGUCUACCUAGAUAUC